CAUGGGUUAUCACGAAAUCAUAAGAUGUUCUUUUCACCUCCCCAAGCCUUUCCACUAUAAAACUGCAACUAUCGGAUCCAUGGCUAACAAAACAUCAAAAUCAAUGGUGACGGAACCUUCCAUCGUGUUCUUCCACGAUUUUUCUUCUGGGUUGGGAGAGGCCAAGCUCAUCUUCAAGCUAAUCCUUUUAUGGGAAGCUCUCCGGAUUGAUGUCGAGAUGUUCAUCAACGAACAGGGUUUGUUUUUUGAUUGGAGGGGCAAGAGGUUCUGAUCAUGGCGUCGAUAUCAUUGUCGGAUCAGGGGCCUAAGACAGAGGGGGGAGGAGGAGGAGAGAGCUCGGAGACGGUGGCGGCGAGUGAUCAAACGUUGUUGUAUAGAGGUUUUAAGAAGGCGAAGAAGGAGAGAGGUUCCAUUUACCGUGGAGUCACAAGGUACUGUGGUUGUGUGUCUUCUAAACUGAAUAGAUGUUUACGAUCCGGAUGAGGGUGGUGUGAUUCAUUUUGAAUUUCAUAUUGUGUAAUCUGGAGAAUUAAACUUAGGACUGUUGUGAUGUCAUUGUUGGAUUGAGAGAGAUGUUGUGUCAUCUGGAAUCGUUGAUUAUUCUGACAAUUAUCAUGUCUCAUUGAGACAAGAACUGAAUGUAUUGUCUUACAUAGCAGUAGGAGAUGCUGAGGUGUAUUGUUUCUUGAAUUUUUGUAAGUACAUGCAUAGAUGGAUAGGUCGUUGUGAAGCUCACCUUUGAGACAAGAGUACAUGGAACCAAAACCAGAACAAGAAGGGAAAACAAGUUUAUCUAGGAGCAUAUGAUGAUGAAGAGGCUGCUUCUAGAGCUUACGACCUUUGUGACCUUUAAAUACUGGGGACCAGGGACACUUAUCAACUUUCCAGUGAGUAUGAUGCUUUCCGCACUUUCAAGCAAGAAAUGGUUGUGGCUACACAUGAAAAUCUCAUCCAUGGAUCAAGCAAAAGUGAUCAACGAAUUCCAAAAGCUUUAUGCACAACUGGACAUGACGCAAAACAAAAACUACAUUCAUUUCUAGGACCAUAAUACUCUGAAAUCAUGGGUAAUCACAAAGAUUGAGUGUGUCAUGUUUGUUUUGUUUAUAGUGUUUAUUGAAAGCGAUGAUGUCAGAGGUUACUGAUGGAGUUGGCGAAGAGAAGAUGAAAAUAAAACUGAAGAUCUCACUAAACCAUGUAGUUAUUUGCUUUUUCAAUCACAAGAUUCAUACUCGCACACUUUUCAUUGGUUUUCUUCAAGCUUCUUCUAAGUAGCUCAUUCCUUUGUAUCGAUCUCAUAGGUGCUUGAUGAGAUUAGUGUUUUGUGUUGCAUUUAAGGUUUGUUUUUCUUAAAUAGUUUUGUUAAAUAUGUCUUGG